GUAGGUGAACCUGCGGAAGGAUCAUUAACACGUUGCAAACGUUUUAAUAUCAACUUUCAACUCCGCGCACGUUGUUUAAAUUUACACGGGUCUCUGUUCUAAACCAAGGAAAUACUCUGUGUGGGCUUGCUUGUGAUGGGUGAGCCUUCAGGGUUGACGCAAAGGACUUGGUUCAGAACUAUUAUGGUCCGUCAUCAUAUUUGUUUUUUAACCCCUUGAAUCUUAUCAGUCUGAAACUUUUUUCUGUUCG
rnacentral:misc_RNA from 1 species